rnacentral:rRNA from 1 species
AUGGCUCUCCAUCUUCACCGCCUCCCCCUCCUACUCCUCCUCCUCGUGCUGUCCACCGCCUCCGCCACCCACUCGCCGGAGACCGCCUCCGCGCGCACCCACCACCACCACCACCGCUCGCCGUUCGGCACCGCCACCGCCCACUUCCACCCCGUCCCUGCCGCCGCGCCCUCCAUGCACCAAAACUACCUCCACGCCGACACCCAGUCCCUCCUCUCGGCCGUCGAAGUCGACCCCGUCCUCGCCGACGCGCAGGCCACGGACGCGGCGGAGGCCCGUCCCGCUCCGCUCCUGCCACCCCAAGCGGCCGCGGCCACUCCGGAUCUCGCGGAGGCGACGCCGCAGCCGCAGGAGGAGGGGCCCGAGCCGACGACGCCCGCUGCAGCGACGAUCAGCACGCUUCUCCCGCUCCCUGCCACGGUGGCGACGACCGCGAGCACGCCUCCGCAUCCCGCCGUGUCCGACGCCGAGCAGGGGCUGCAGCAGCUCGCGAGGGUGCUCACCUCCCUCGGGUACAACGAGAUGGCGUCGGAGGCGCCGCUCCUCGCCCGCGCGCCGCCGCUCGCGAGGUGGCCCGGGGCCAUCACCGUCUUCGCCGCCCCCGACGCCUUCCUCCAGGCCUCCUGCCCCAUGUGCUCGCGCCGCCACCUCCUCGAGCAGCACAUCGCCAUGGGCUACUACCCCUACUCCGACCUCGCCGCCGCCGCCACCAUGAAGAUCCCCUCCGCCUCCGUCGGCUUCUGCAUCAAGGUCGCCACCCAGCGGGGCCCCUUCGGCAUCCACUACGCCAGGAUCUACGCCGACGGCGUCGAGGUGUCCCACCCCGAGCUCUACAACGACGGGAAAAAAAUUGUAUGA